CGUGCAAAGGUAGCAUAAGCAUUUGUUCCCUAAAUAGGGACUUGUAUGAACGGCCACACGAGGGCUUUACUGUCUCUUACUUCCAAUCCGUGAAAUUGACCUUCCCGUGAAGAGGCGGGAAUAUAAUAAUAAGACGAGAAGACCCUAUGGAGCUUUAAUUAACCGACCCAAAGAGACCAUAUGAACCAACCGACAGGAACAACAAACCUCUAUAUGGGCCGGCAAUUUAGGUUGGGGUGACCUCGGAGAAUAAAACAACCUCCGAGUGAUUUAAAUCUAGACUAACCAGUCGAAAGUACUACAUCACUUAUUGAUCCAAAAACCUUGAUCAACGGAACAAGUUACCCUAGGGAUAACAGCGCAAUCCUAUUUCAGAGUCCAUAUCGACAAUAGGGUUUACGACCUCGAUGUUGGAUCAGGACAUCCCGAUGGUGCAGCAGCUAUCAAAGGUUCGUUUGUUCAACGAUUAAAGUCCUACGUGAUCUGAGUUCAGACCGGAGUAAUCCAGGUCGGUUUCUAUCUAUUUAAUAACUUCUCCCAGUACGAAAGGACAAGAGAAGUGAGGCCCACUUCACCAAAGCGCCUUUAACCAAAUAGAUGAUAUAAUCUUAA
rnacentral:rRNA from 1 species